UACGGAGGAUCCAAGCGUUAUCCGGAUUCAUUGGGUUUAAAGGGUGCGUAGGCGGAAUGAUAAGUCAGUGGUGAAAGCCUGCAGCUUAACUGCAGAACUGCCAUUGAUACUGUCAAUCUUGAGUACAUUUUGAUGAGGGCGGAAUGUGUCAUGUAGCGGUGAAAUGCUUAGAUAUGACACAGAAACACCAUUGCGAAGGCAGCUCUCAAA
rnacentral:rRNA from 1 species